rnacentral:rRNA from 1 species
AUGGGAGAAGAAGAACAGCAUCUCAGAGGGCACAUCCGAACUUCAGCCGCCAUGGCGAUAGAGGGGGAGCAGCAGGCAGGGGGCUUUGAAGAAGCAGCUCUAGCCGGAUCAUCAACCAGGUCCACAUCACACACAUCUAGAAUAGUUAUUCAGAAAGUAGUAGAGGUCGUAGCUACAUUAUCCGACUACAAAAGAUUUUUGGUAGAGGAGAUUGGUUUUGAGGGAGUACUGCGCAUCCCCAUGAUACCGAAAAUCAACUUGAAGUUUAGCAAGUUCCUCAUGAGUAAGGUCGAUCUCAAAGACCACUGCAUCAUCUUGAGAGAUGGGGGAAAGCCAAUUAAAUUUCACCCAGAGGAUUUCCACAAAGUUUUUGGCAUCCCAUGCGGGCAACGAGAUAUACAUGGAACAGACGCACACAUCACAAGUGAAGCAAUUGAUUUCAUGAGGAACUCCAUAGGAUGGACAGACAAAUCCGAUCGCAGUUUAAGCUCGCUCGAAGCGUUCAUUUGCAAGGAAAUAAAUGAACUAUCUAGCCGUUUAGAGAAGGAUUGCUUCAAGAUGGCGUUCGUCGUCUUCGUGAUGGGCAAUCUGUUUGCCCCAUGCACCAAGCAUGAUUACUCAACCAUUGACUACUGGGGGGCAUCAAAGACGCCGACAACAUUGCCCUCUUCAAUUGGUGCAAAUAUUCAUUUGAAGGUCUACUGGAAGCAGUUCGAAAACUGA